rnacentral:rRNA from 1 species
CUGGAGACAGGUGCUGCAUGGCUGUCGUCAGCUCGUGUCGUGAGAUGUUGGGUUAAGUCCCGCAACGAGCGCAACCCUUGCCUUUAGUUGCCAGCAGUUCGGCUGGGCACUCUAAAGGGACUGCCGGUGUUAAACCGGAGGAAGGUGGGGAUGACGUCAAGUCCUCAUGGCCUUUAUGACCAGGGCUACACACGUACUACAAUGACCGAUACAAAGGGCAGCGACACUGCGAGGUGAAGCCAAUCCCGUAAAAUCGGUCUCAGUCCGGAUUGGAGUCUGCAACUCGACUCCAUGAAGUUGGAAUCGCUAGUAAUCGUGGAUCAGCAUGCCACGGUGAAUACGUUCCCGGGCCUU